rnacentral:rRNA from 1 species
AACGAACGCUGGCGGCAUGCCUAACACAUGCAAGUCGAACGAGAUCUUCGGGUCUAGUGGCGCACGGGUGCGUAACGCGUGGGAAUCUGCCCUUUGGCUCGGAAUAACAGUUGGAAACGACCGCUAAUACCGGAUGAUGACGAAAGUCCAAAGAUUUAUCGCCAGAGGAUGAGCCCGCGUAGGAUUAGCUAGUUGGUGUGGUAAAGGCGCACCAAGGCGACGAUCCUUAGCUGGUCUGAGAGGAUGAUCAGCCACACUGGGACUGAGACACGGCCCAGACUCCUACGGGAGGCAGCAGCGGGGAAUAUUGGACAAUGGGCGAAAGCCUGAUCCAGCAAUGCCGCGUGAGUGAUGAAGGCCUUAGGGUUGUAAAGCUCUUUUACCCGGGAUGAUAAUGACAGUACCGGGAGAAUAAGCUCCGGCUAACUCCGUGCCAGCAGCCGCCGUAA